UGCAUAUCAAUAAGCGGAGGAAAAGAAACUAACAAGGAUUCCCCUAGUAACGGCGAGUGAAGCGGGAAAAGCUCAAAUUUGUAAUCUGGCGCCUUUGGCGUCCGAGUUGUAAUCUCGAGAAGUAUUUUCCGCGCUGGACCGCACAUAAGUCUGUUGGAAUACAGCGUCAUAGUGGUGAGAACCCCGUAUAGGGUGCGGAUGCCCAGUGCUUUGUGAUAUACUUUCGAAGAGUCGAGUUGUUUGGGAAUGCAGCUCAAAUUGGGUGGUAAAUUCCAUCUAAAGCUAAAUAUUGGCGAGAGACCGAUAGCGAACAAGUACCGUGAGGGAAAGAUGAAAAGCACUUUGGAAAGAGAGUUAACAGUACGUGAAAUUGUUGGAAGGGAAACGCUUGAAGUCAGACUUGCAUUUUGGAGUUCAACCGCAAGGUGUAUUCUUCAAUUCGCAGGCCAGCAUCAGUUUUUGGGGGUGGAAAAGCGUGGUUUGAAGGUAGCAGUCUCGGCUGUGUUAUAGCUUUCCACUGGAUUCACUUUUGGGGACUGAGGAACGCAGUACGCUUUUUGCAAGAUUUUCGGAUCUUUCGUACUUAGGAUGCUGGUGGAAUGGCUUUAAACGACCCGUCUUGAAACACGGACCA
rnacentral:rRNA from 1 species